rnacentral:rRNA from 1 species
AGACCCGAAACCCGGUGAUCUAGCCAUGGGCAGGUUGAAGGUUGGGUAACACUAACUGGAGGACCGAACCGACUAAUGUUGAAAAAUUAGCGGAUGACCUGUGGCUGGGGGUGAAAGGCCAAUCAAACCGGGAGAUAGCUGGUUCUCCCCGAAAGCUAUUUAGGUAGCGCCUCGUGAAUUCAUCUCCGGGGGUAGAGCACUGUUUCGGCUAGGGGGCCAUCCCGGCUUACCAACCCGAUGCAAACUGCGAAUACCGGAGAAUGUUAUCACGGGAGACACACGGCGGGUGCUAACGUCCGUCGUGAAGAGGGAAACAACCCAGACCGCCAGCUAAGGUCCCAAAGUCAUGGUUAAGUGGGAAACGAUGUGGGAAGGCCCAGACAGCCAGGAUGUUGGCUUAGAAGCAGCCAUCAUUUAAAGAAAGCGUAAUAGCUCACUGGUCGAGUCGGCCUGCGCGGAAGAUGUAACGGGGCUAAACCAUGCACCGAAGCUGCGGCAGCGACGCUGAUGCGUUGUUGGGUAGGGGAGCGUUCUGUAAGCCUGCGAAGGUGUGCUGUGAGGCAUGCU